GAUGAACGCUGGCGGCGUGCCUAACACAUGCAAGUCGAACGGUCUCGGAAGUCGGAAGUAACAUUCUGACUUCCGGGAUAGUGGCGGACGGGUGAGUAACGCGUGGGCAACCUGCCUUUCACAGGGGGAUAACACAGGGAAACCUGUGCUAAUACCGCAUAACAUAUUGAUAGGGCAUCCUAUUGAUAUCAAAGGAGCAAUCCGGUGGAAGAUGGGCCCGCGUCCAAUUAGCUGGUUGGUGGUGUAACGGACCACCAAGGCGACGAUUGGUAGCCGAACUGAGAGGUUGAUCGGCCACAUUGGGACUGAGACACGGCCCAGACUCCUACGGGAGGCAGCAGUGGGGAAUAUUGCGCAAUGGGGGGAACCCUGACGCAGCAACGCCGCGUGAAGGAGGAAGGUUUUCGGAUUGUAAACUUCUUUGAUGAGGGACGAACAAGAUGACGGUACCUCAAAAACAAGCCACGGCUAACUACGUG
rnacentral:rRNA from 1 species